UCAUCUCCGGGGGUAGAGCACUGUUUCGGCAAGGGGGUCAUCCCGACUUACCAACCCGAUGCAAACUGCGAAUACCGGAGAAUGUUAUCACGGGAGACACACGGCGGGUGCUAACGUCCGUCGUGAAGAGGGAAACAACCCAGACCGCCAGCUAAGGUCCCAAAGUCAUGGUUAAGUGGGAAACGAUGUGGGAAGGCCCAGACAGCCAGGAUGUUGGCUUAGAAGCAGCCAUCAUUUAAAGAAAGCGUAAUAGCUCACUGGUCGAGUCGGCCUGCGCGGAAGAUGUAACGGGGCUAAACCAUGCACCGAAGCUGCGGCAGCGACGCUUAUGCGUUGUUGGGUAGGGGAGCGUUCUGUAAGCCUGUGAAGGUGUGCUGUGAGGCAUGCUGGAGGUAUCAGAAGUGCGAAUGCUGACAUAAGUAACGAUAAAGCGGGUGAAAAGCCCGCUCGCCGGAAGACCAAGGGUUCCUGUCCAACGUUAAUCGGGGCAGGGUGAGUCGACCCCUAAGGCGAGGCCGAAAGGCGUAGUCGAUGGGAAACAGGUUAAUAUUCCUGUACUUGGUGUUACUGCGAAGGGGGGACGGAGAAGGCUAUGUUGGCCGGGCGACGGUUGUCCCGGUUUAAGCGUGUAGGCUGGUUUUCCAGGCAAAUCCGGAAAAUCAAGGCUGAGGCGUGAUGACGAGGCACUACGGUGCUGAAGCAACAAAUGCCCUGCUUCCAGGAAAAGCCUCUAAGCAUCAGGUAACAUCAAAUCGUACCCCAAACCGACACAGGUGGUCAGGUAGAGAAUACCAAGGCGCUUGAGAGAACUCGGGUGAAGGAACUAGGCAAAAUGGUGCCGUAACUUCGGGAGAAGGCACGCUGAUAUGUAGGUGAAGUCCCUCGCGGAUGGAGCUGAAAUCAGUCGAAGAUACCAGCUGGCUGCAACUGUUUAUUAAAAACACAGCACUGUGCAAACACGAAAGUGGACGUAUACGGUGUGACGCCUGCCCGGUGCCGGAAGGUUAAUUGAUGGGGUCAGCGCAAGCGAAGCUCUUGAUCGAAGCCCCGGUAAACGGCGGCCGUAACUAUAACGGUCCUAAGGUAGCGAAAUUCCUUGUCGGGUAAGUUCCGACCUGCACGAAUGGCGUAAUGAUGGCCAGGCUGUCUCCACCCGAGACUCAGUGAAAUUGAACUCGCUGUGAAGAUGCAGUGUACCCGCGGCAAGACGGAAAGACCCCGUGAACCUUUACUAUAGCUUGACACUGAACAUUGAGCCUUGAUGUGUAGGAUAGGUGGGAGGCUUAGAAGUGUGGACGCCAGUCUGCAUGGAGCCGACCUUGAAAUACCACCCUUUAAUGUUUGAUGUUCUAACGUUGACCCGUAAUCCGGGUUGCGGACAGUGUCUGGUGGGUAGUUUGACUGGGGCGGUCUCCUCCUAAAGAGUAACGGAGGAGCACGAAGGUUGGCUAAUCCUGGUCGGACAUCAGGAGGUUAGUGCAAUGGCAUAAGCCAGCUUGACUGCGAGCGUGACGGCGCGAGCAGGUGCGAAAGCAGGUCAUAGUGAUCCGGUGGUUCUGAAUGGAAGGGCCAUCGCUCAACGGAUAAAAGGUACUCCGGGGAUAACAGGCUGAUACCGCCCAAGAGUUCAUAUCGACGGCGGUGUUUGGCACCUCGAUGUCGGCUCAUCACAUCCUGGGGCUGAAGUAGGUCCCAAGGGUAUGGCUGUUCGCCAUUUAAAGUGGUACGCGAGCUGGGUUUAGAACGUCGUGAGACAGUUCGGUCCCUAUCUGCCGUGGGCGCUGGAGAACUGAGGGGGGCUGCUCCUAGUACGAGAGGACCGGAGUGGACGCAUCACUGGUGUUCGGGUUGUCAUGCCAAUGGCACUGCCCGGUAGCUAAAUGCGGAAGAGAUAAGUGCUGAAAGCAUCUAAGCACGAAACUUGCC
rnacentral:rRNA from 1 species